AUUCAUAUAUGAUCGGAAUGCCCUAUCAUUAAUGUAAUAAACACAAUUUAUAAAUUAUAAUACAUUAUAUAAAUAAAUUUAUAUAUAGAUAUACUUUUACUUACAUAUUCACCGCAAGCUUGAGUUCUAUAUUCCGGUCACAUUUUAUAGGAUCAAAGACAUAUACUAUUCUCGAACAUACAUUAAUCACUAGAAGCAACCAAUGUGGCCUUUGCUAUCUGUGUUGGACACACAAAUCCAACUGAGUCAGUCCCAAAUUGAUUGCUGUGAAGAUACCUGAAAAAUUAUUAAGUAAUACAUUAAUAAUUAAUUAACAUUUUCAAAUUAAUAAAUAUACAAACUUACAUUAUAAAGACUUGUAUAAUGGAUACAUCAAGCCAUUUCAUAGUUAACAAGUCCUUAAUAUUAUCCAUCAUCACAAAAAUACUUCUCACGUUGGUAUGGUGAAAGACAUUAGAAUCUAAUUCCAAUUCAAAGUAGUCAGUAUCAAUAGACAUUGAUAGAAGCACAUUGUGCACCCGGUUGCACUCAACCCCAAAGGCUGUAAGGUAUCAUCAUAAACCAAAUUGGCUCGUCUAGUACUCGAUUCCUCACCACAGUCAUACCUGUUUUAACUUUUGGCUUCAUCACUAUCUCUUCCUGUGAAUAGAGGAACUUUUAAUCAUGAUAACAUAUACAAAUAAUAAGAAUUCAAUAAAUUAUACAACAAAACAAGUUCAUACCUCUCCUAUAC